GGUUCGAUUCCGGAGAGGGAGCCUGAGAAACGGCUACCNNNNNNNAGGAAGGCAGCAGGCGCGCAAAUUACCCAAUCCCAAUACGGGGAGGUAGUGACAAUAAAUAACAAUAUGGGGCUCUUACGGGUCUCGUAAUUGGAAUGAGUACGAUUUAAAUCUCUUAACGAGGAACAAUUGGAGGGCAAGUCUGGUGCCAGCAGCCGCGGUAAUUCCAGCUCCAAUAGCGUAUAUUAAAGUUGUUGCAGUUAAAAAGCUCGUAGUUGAAUUUCGGAGUUUGUCGGUUGGUCGGGCUUCACUGUCCGCACUGGCCUGAUGGAUUCCUACCUUCUGAAUAACCAGCAUGCUAUUAAGUUAGUGCGUUGGGGAAGCAGAGCUAUUACCUUGAAAAAAUUAGAGUGCUUAAAGCAGGCUUAUGCUUGAAUAGAUUAGCAUGGAAUAAUAAAAUAGGACGGCAUGGUUCUAUUUUGUUGGUUUCUAGGAUCACCGUAAUGAUUAAUAGGGAUAGUUGGGGGCAUUAGUAUUCAAUUAUCAGAGGUGAAAUUCUUGGAUUUAUUGAAGACUAACUUCUGCGAAAGCAUUUGCCAAGGAUGUUUUCAUUAAUCAAGAACGAAAGUUAGGGGAUCGAAGACGAUCAGAUACCGUCGUAGUCUUAACCAUAAACUAUGCCGACUAGGAAUCGGACGAUGUUAAUUUUUUAAUGACUCGUUCG
rnacentral:rRNA from 1 species